CAGUGCAUAUUGUAUGCAUAAUUUUUUAUUUUUUUUGUUAAAUAAACAAAAUCACGUGUAAAUAAAGCACCUAUAUCAAUAUUUUUUAUUUGACUAUCGAUACUUUCGAUACUCACAUCAGUAUUGAUAAUAUCAGUACUUCAGGAUCGAUAUGCUUAUACCUAGCGCCUUUUUUCGCGUGCUUCGGAUGACAAGGAGAAAAGGAUACCCCCCUCAGAAAAUGUACAAAUAAAGGUAAUUAAACAUCUAAAAUUAUUAUUUGGAGCAUUGGGAUCACUAGACAAGGGCUUAAUGGACUCUUUUUUUUGAAAACCUCAAAAUCGACUAAAAUCGUCAUUUUUCAGUUUUUUUUUUUGUUUGUUUGUUUGUUUGUUUGUUUUUUUGCGUGUAGCUCAAAAUUAGCCUGUGCGCAUUCUGACUCUUUUUGCCAGCACGGGUCACAUAUAGCAAUGCUGUAAAAACCACACCUUAGCAACUGCAUGGCAACAAGCUAAAAACCACUGAGAACACCUUAACAACCCGAAAACCUGCAUAUCAACAUGCUGGAAUUUAAUGCACUAAACACUAUUCUGAACACCAUAGCAAAACUCUGGCAACCACCUACAACACCCUCAUACUGUAAUGGAGAUUUUCUUUCUUUCUUUUUGAGUAAAUAAACACCUAAUGAUGAACUUUAAAGAAGCACAAGCUGGCAGGUUGAGUGUUUGGAGGAGAACCGUGCUUCAUCUGUAAUCUCUAGAUGGGACGGGAAGUGCUUAUGAGACCACAACACGGAGGCAUCACCUGCAGGUGAAGUCUGGAGGAGGACUGAUCAAAGCACUGCCCUGGGAUACACACACUGAUCCUGAACCAGCACAUUUCAACAUGGCUACCAGCUCUUUAUUCUCUGGAGAACCCGGAGGAAAUGGAAAGAAAUGGGUUUAAACACAUGUUUUCCUUCUGCUCUUUUCAGAAAACUGUCAGCAGGAGAUGGAAGAAAGCGUCUUCUACUUGUGAGAACUCUUAUGGCUGCUUCUCAUGGGAAUCUCCACCAAUCAGAGAAUCACAAGCAGCAACUCGUACAGUGCGUCAUGGGAUUGUAGUUUUUUCUCUUAUUCAAGCUGUAAAAUACUGAAGUAUUGAAAAUACUACUGGAACCAAGGUGGCUAAGAAGUGGGUGAGUACUCUUGCACUCUCACCCCAACUUCCUGUUUCAAUAGGAAGUAUGUAAACACUGGAAUGUAAAUGUGUUUGGGAAACCAUGUUGUUGUGGUCUUAAAUCUCAUUUACCUUUCUUGCUUCAUAAUUAAUCAACAAACCCACAACAAGGGGUAAAAUAUGGGGAAAAAACAGAAGCAUCACCAGUUUUGUUUUCCUGUCCCGAAGCGGUAUGCACAGCUAAACUACUUUAUCUGUCAGCACUGCAAAUACAAACUACAACAGGGAAUUUAAAAGGGAUGUUAAUUAACACUCUUAGUAAAUAAUAACAUGCAGCAUUAUAUACCCACAAACACACACACAGACACACACACACACACACACACACACACACAAAUGCCUAAGGUUUUCUACCUCUUCUAAUAAGACACAUAUUCACUCGCACCUAAACUCACUAUAAUGUAGUUAGCGCAAAGAUGACAUUCUAUACUCUGUAGCUCACCUACUUCUGGUUUGGAGCUCCACCAAUGCAGACUUUUGUUCUAAAUAUCUGUCCCCUCAGAAAUAUCACAAAUAUAUGCCCAUACUGCAUUUAUCUGAUUACAAAAUAAAAUAAAAACAAACAAAAUCA
ensembl:lncRNA